GAGAUACUGAAGCAGAGAAAGGUGAAAGCCAGGUUGACCAUUGCUGCCGUUCUGUACUUGCUUUUCAUGAUUGGAGAACUUGUAGGUGGAUACAUUGCAAAUAGCCUAGCAAUCAUGACAGAUGCACUUCAUAUGUUAACUGACCUAAGCGCCAUCAUACUCACCCUGCUUGCUUUGUGGCUAUCAUCAAAAUCACCAACCAAAAGAUUCACCUUUGGAUUUCAUCGCUUAGAGGUUUUGUCAGCUAUGAUUAGUGUGCUGUUGGUGUAUAUACUUAUGGGAUUCCUCUUAUAUGAAGCUGUGCAAAGAACUAUCCAUAUGAACUAUGAAAUAAAUGGAGAUAUAAUGCUCAUCACCGCAGCUGUUGGAGUUGCAGUUAAUGUAAUAAUGGGGUUUCUGUUGAACCAGUCUGGUCACCGUCACUCCCAUUCCCACUCCCUGCCUUCAAAUUCCCCUACCAGAGGUUCUGGGUGUGAACGUAACCAUGGGCAGGAUAGCCUGGCAGUGAGAGCUGCAUUUGUACAUGCUUUGGGAGAUUUGGUACAGAGUGUUGGUGUGCUAAUAGCUGCAUACAUCAUACGAUUCAAGCCAGAAUACAAGAUUGCUGACCCCAUCUGUACAUACGUAUUUUCAUUACUUGUGGCUUUUACAACAUUUCGAAUCAUAUGGGAUACAGUAGUUAUAAUACUAGAAGGUGUGCCAAGCCAUUUGAAUGUAGACUAUAUCAAAGAAGCCUUGAUGAAAAUAGAAGAUGUAUAUUCAGUCGAAGAUUUAAAUAUCUGGUCUCUCACUUCAGGAAAAUCUACUGCCAUAGUUCACAUACAGCUAAUUCCUGGAAGUUCAUCUAAAUGGGAGGAAGUACAGUCCAAAGCAAACCAUUUAUUAUUGAACACAUUUGGCAUGUAUAGAUGUACUAUUCAGCUUCAGAGUUACAGGCAAGAAGUGGACAGAACUUGUGCAAAUUGUCAGAGUUCUAGUCCCUAAUUUUAUGUAUUUUGGGAACUCCUGCCUUAUUUAUCCUGCAGUCACAGACUUGAGAGCAAUAAAUGCAAAC
rnacentral:lncRNA from 1 species